rnacentral:lncRNA from 1 species
UGCCAGAUAUAGUAUGCACCUAAAGUAAAAUAAAUAAAUUUUAAAAAAAGGAUACUCUUUCCAUUUCAGCCACAUGCAACAAAGAGACUAAAGAAUCCAAUCAAUGGAUGGAUGUGUUUAACUUUUCGAUCGUUUUGGAAGUCCAAUUGCCAGAGACUAAUGGUUAUAUAGACUCCUUUUAUGUUGACUUUAUUUAUCAUUUUAGACUUCUGGAAAAAAGGCAAGAUUGGACAAGUUAUUUGACCUCUCUGGAUCUCAGUUUCCUCAUUCUAAAACUUGAGACUUGGAUUACAAAACCUCCAUGAUUCUGAAUAUGGAUGAAAUAUGUAUUUCAGCUACAGAGAUAGGGAAAGAAUUUUAAAUCCUAAUACAGAAGCAGCUACUUACUCUGCCCACAUAUAAAACUAGAUCUGCCUUCAGGAAAUGGAAAAUCUAAUUCCUAGCCUCUUUGUUAAGUUGCAAAGUCACGCUUGAUUAGAAAUGUACUCUCCAGCAGCACAUUGUUGGGCCCUUAGAAUUCAUGCGAUAUUUUAGGUGGCCACAGCUCUCCACAAGUUUGCAGCCUACACCUAAUUAGUUUGGUUUAUAAUUGAACAAAAGUACACAGAUUCAGAGAAAAUAUAUUUUGACAUCAAUUAUAAAUUUCAGGGGGACAUUUUAUUUUGGGGCAAAAUAUUGGCAAUUGCUUCUAUUCUCUACUUUGCGAAUUCAGAAAAUCAUAAAAUAAAACUAUCCUCAGACCAGAUACUGGUUUUAUUAUGGCAUACCAAAAAACAAAUAGGAGAUGAAAAUUAACACAAAAUUUGAAAGAAAUAUCAAUUUAUAAAUCAACAAGAGGCUAUAAAGUAAUGCAGUAUUUUUUAAAGCUACUUUACUCUCUGCCUAUGCCAAGAGCUCAAAUCAUGGUUGGCUCCAAGUACUAACUAUAUUUCACUACCAUAUAUCUCCCUCUUGGGGUUUUUUAAGUGAUUUGCAGACUGAAAAAUGUCAGGGACAACUGCCUUUGAGUCUUCCAUAGUACAGCAGUCAGAGUGGGAACUGAGAAACUGCAAGCCAACAGCCUCAAGGACUGUGUCUUCAAGAUACUGCAUGGUCUUUUCUAAAGACUAAUUAUUGUUUUACACACCUCUAGGCUCUUUCCCUGAACCCUAUGUAAGGAGAACCUAUUAAAUUUUAUGCCUUGGGAUUUCUGAACAACUUGUGAACUCUGCCAUUAAACCAAAUUUUCUUUUCUUUGCCUGUUUUUGUCCUACUUUCUGCUUCUUUCCAGGUAAGGCAUUCACUUUUAAGUAAGUGAAGAUAAAGCUGUUCUUUCCAACAGGGUAUUAAUAAAGUAGACUUAUGUAACAUUUUAGCAUUUGCUCCAUAUUCUUUAUUUACUAUCUUUUCUUGCUGAUUUUCUCAUACUCGAGUCUAAUGUUUUCAGUUAUUUCACUGCAAUAACACUGCAAAAGCAAAGCCAAGUAGCAAACUAGAAAGCUACAACACAG